UGAAUUUGAAAUCCACUAUUCACUUCGAAAUCCACUAUUUAAUGUCGCGUGUGUAUUCAAAAACCACUAUCACCCCUCCUCUAUUGCUCGCGCCUGCAUCAGAUAUAUUUUGUUUGAAAUCCACUACAAAUUCAUCAAAAACACUACAAAAAUAUAGAAAUUCAUUACAAAAAAUCCACUUUACAAAGAGAAAAUCCACUAAAAACUUGCCUAAAUCCACUACAAAAGUCCCCUUUAAUAAACAAUGUCAUCGCAUACAAUAGUAGAUUCACCCGGGCAUCACCCAACCUCGUCUCACUUGUUGCCAUCACUCCUUGUGCAAGAACCUGAAUCAAAGAAAAAGAAGACAAACAACGUUUAAAUUUAAUUCAUUCAAAACAAAAUCGGUCUACAAAGCAAAAAAUUUAAAUCUACUACAAUAUCAUCCAAGCCCACUACAAAAAAUAUCGAAAUCCACCAAAAUAUUAGCAUAAUCCACUAUGAAAUUAACCUAAUCACUACAAAACAAUUACAAAAAUAUUAAUGUAAUCCACUACGAAAUUAAACUAAUUCACUACGACAAAUCCCUUUUUUCAAAGACAAAAUUGAGUUCAAUUAUAUCGAAAUUCACUAAAAUAGUAACGUAAACCACUACGGAAUUAACCUAAUCCACUACAACAAAUCACCUUUUCAAAGAAAAAAGUUAAUUCAAAAUAAGAAUUACAAUCUAAUUACAAUCAAAUUAUUAUUUUUAGUUGAAAAUCAUGAUUGUUCAUAGUUCAAGUCAAUAUCUCCAAAUUUGUGCGUUCCAAUUGAAUACGAUAUUAAAUUAUAUUAUUAUUGAAAAUUGUGCGUUCCAAUUUAUUGAAUAAAAAAAGAUUCAAUUAAAAUUGAAAGGCUCUGAAAAUCAAGUAAAAAAAUAGAACAAGAAAUAAUUAAAAUUCUCUAUACUUUUCAAAUUAUCCGUACAUCUCGUCAAUCCCAUCGCAAAAAAAAACACAGGAUCU
rnacentral:lncRNA from 1 species